UACGUAGGGUGCAAGCGUUGUCCGGAUUUAUUGGGUCUAAAGGGUGCGUAGGCGGCCGUUUAAGUCUGGGGUGAAAGCCCGUUGCUCAACAACGGAACUGCCCUGGAAACUGGACGGCUUGAGUACAGACGAGGUUGGCGGAAUGGAUGGUGUAGCGGUGAAAUACAUAGAUACCAUCCAGAACCCCGAUUGCGAAGGCAGCUGACUAGACUGUAACUGACGCUGAGGCACGAAAGCGUGGGGAGCGAACAGG
rnacentral:rRNA from 1 species